CCUACGGGUGGCAGCAGUGGGGAAUAUUGGACAAUGGGGGGAACCCUGAUCCAGCCAUGCCUCGUGUGUGAAGAAGGCCCUCGGGUUGUAAAGCACUUUCAGUGAGGAAGAACGCCUGGUGGUUAAUACCCAUCAGGAAAGACAUCACUCACAGAAGAAGCACCGGCUAACUCCGUGCCAGCAGCCGCGGUAAUACGGAGGGUGCGAGCGUUAAUCGGAAUUACUGGGCGUAAAGCGCGCGUAGGUGGCUUGAUAAGCCGGUUGUGAAAGCCCCGGGCUCAACCUGGGAACGGCAUCCGGAACUGUCAAGCUAGAGUGCAGGAGAGGAAGGUAGAAUUCCCGGUGUAGCGGUGAAAUGCGUAGAGAUCGGGAGGAAUACCAGUGGCGAAGGCGGCCUUCUGGACUGACACUGACACUGAGGUGCGAAAGCGUGGGUAGCAAACAGGAUUAGAUACCCCAGUAGUC
rnacentral:rRNA from 1 species